AGAUUCAUAUGUGUGUUCGACCUUGGAAAUACAAGUUGGACAAGAGAUCGAAGCCUGGGCCUGCAUUUAUUUUAUUGUCUCACUAUAAAUAACCCUCAAUCUGUAUUUUCUUCCUCUUGUUUCCUCACAAUCUCAAUUCCUAUCAUCAUCAUCAUCUUCAUUACCAUUCUCGUUCUGUUUUCUCCCUCUGCCAUACCCAGCUCCAGGUGGCACUGGAGAAUGACGGUGAUGAUCAAGGGGGAGAACAUUAGUUGUGAUCAGAUUUUGAGUUUUGUUUAAUCUUGGAUUGUUCUUUGGGGAGAUUCUGAAAAAAAGGGAUUUCUUAGCUAAACCAAAUGAAUGUCGUAGGAAAAGUUGGGAGCUUAAUUGCUGGUGGUGUUUACUCUGUUGCAACACCGUUUCAUCCUUUUGGUGGUGCUGUUGAUGUCAUUGUUGUUCGACAGCAAGAUGGAACUUUUCGAAGUACACCAUGGUAUGUUAGAUUUGGUAAAUUUCAGGGUGUUCUUAAAGGUACUGAGAAGGUUGUUGGUAUAGCAGUCAAUGGGGUUGAUGCCAAUUUUCAUAUGUAUCUUGAUAACUCUGGUGAGGCCUAUUUUAUCAAGGAGAUUGAUGUUGGUAAAGGGAGUGAGCUAAAUGGGGUCGCCAAGAAUGAUCAAGAAUUUAAUGAGGGGAGUAGUAGCAUAAAUGGUGAUAAGAACAACAAGGAAAAUGAACAUGUUAAUAAUAUUCGUAGACUCGAGCAUAGUGUGUCUGAUUCUGCUGUAGUUCAAUUGCAAGAGGAGCGUGAUUCUUUGGGGGAAGAUGGGAGGUUUUAUGAAUUUCAAGAUGAUGAAUCUUCUCUUGAUGAUUCAGAGUAUGGUUCUAGCCGUUUUGAGAGUUUAGAUGGUGACAAAAUUGUUAAAUCCCAGAAUUUAAAUUCAGAAGUUGUAUUGGUAAGUGUGGAUGGUCAUAUAUUAACAGCCCCCAUCACGGCAUUGGAACAGGAUACUGAAAAUGUUCAAUUAAGCACCCCUCAGUUUCAUCUUGGCCCAGGUGAAAGUUCUGAGUUUUGUGAUGUCAACGAUGAGUUCAGUACAGACGAAAAUUCUUGGCUGGAUUAUAUUAGUAAGCUGAAUGCACCUAAACCAAAUGAUACAUCUGAUAAUCUCUCUAUAGUUAACAAUGAGGAAAGUGUUUUUUGUCAGCAGCAGCUGGAAGUACGUGAAGGUGAGGAAGAACAUGCCUUUCUAUCUACUGAAACUCAAAAUUUUAAAAUGGAAGAAAAAAUUAUUUUGGCGCGUAGUGAUCUAGAAGAUGCAUUGCAAGUAAAUGAUUCGGAAUCAUCAGAUGUUUCUGCACAUAUUAAAGAUUUAAGUUCAUCAUCAGAUGCUUAUAUUUCACAGUCUAACCAUACUAUUAUAGUUGCUAAUGACGCUGAAGAGGUUACUGCUGAAUUCAGAAAUGAUGAUGGGUCAUCUCUUUCAUGUAGUUCUUUUCCACUUAACAACGAUACAAGUAUGAAUAUAAAGCUAGAAGAUGAACCAGCUGAUGAUUCUGAAGAUGAAGAGAGUUUAUCUCCUCAUUCUGUUACUAAAAAUUCAGAGUUGAAGGAUGAACAGUCAAUUAUUGGGAUAGACUCUAUUGACAUUACACCAGAGAGACCUACAGACAAAGAGGAACCUCAAACAACUUCUACAGAGAUACAAAUUCAGUCCAGUACAAGGUUCGAGAUCUCGCUCUGUGGGAACAAACUUAAUGCAGGCAUGGGCUUGGAUGCGGCUGCUGAAGCUUUUGAUGCACAUCGCAUUUUGGCAGAGGAUUUUAAAAGUUCUGGCUCAUCAAUUAUUAAGGAUGGAAAUCUGAUCAUUAGAUUUAGAGGGCAGUAUUUUCCAUGGGAAAAAGCUGCUCAUUUAGCUCUUGGAGUAGCUGCAUUUGGUAUGGACUUGCCUAUUGAUCUCAAGGACGCAAUUCCUGUGGAACAGGACAACACACGAAAGGCUGGGAAUGGUUCUGGAUUGACAUCCACUCCCUCUGGACGCAGGUGGCGCCUAUGGCCUAUUCCAUUUAGAAGGGUCAAAACACUUGAGCACACCAACAGUACUUCGUCAAACGAGGAAGAAUUUGUUGAUUCUGAAUCUGUUUUACACAGCUCACAAGCAGAAACGACCCCAAGUACUCCGACAUCCCAAACCUUCCAUGAAUCUCCUCGCAAACAAUUUGUGAGGACAAAUAUUCCCACUAAUGAGCAGAUAGCAUCUUUGAACCUGAAAGAAGGUCAAAAUAUUGUGACAUUUAGUUUCUCUACUCGGGUUCUUGGAAGACAACAGGUUGACGCACACAUUUAUUUAUGGAAGUGGAAUGCACGAAUUGUAAUUUCUGAUGUUGAUGGUACAAUAACAAAGUCAGAUGUUUUAGGUCAAUUCAUGCCUUUGGUUGGGAAAGAUUGGACACAAUCUGGGGUGGCUAAGCUUUUCUCUGCAAUUAAGGAAAAUGGAUACCAGCUACUAUUUCUCAGUGCACGAGCUAUUGUUCAGGCGUAUCUAACUAGAAGCUUUUUACUUAACCUUAAACAGGAUGGAAGCACUCUACCAAAUGGACCUGUUGUGAUCUCACCAGAUGGAUUAUUUCCUUCGUUGUACCGCGAAGUAAUAAGAAGAGCACCUCAUGAAUUCAAGAUUGCAUGUCUAGAGGAUAUUAAGAAGCUGUUCCCUAAUGAUUACAAUCCAUUUUAUGCGGGUUUUGGAAACAGAGACACAGAUGAACUGAGUUACAGGAAGAUUGGGAUUCCAAAAGGGAAAAUAUUUAUUAUCAAUCCUAAGGGUGAGGUAGCCAUUAGUCAUAGGAUUGAUGUGAAGUCAUACACUUCUUUACACACUCUUGUGAAUGACAUGUUUCCUCCAACUUCAUUGAUAGAACAGGAAGACUUCAACUCAUGGAAUUUUUGGAGAGUACCACUGCCAGAAAUUGAUGACUAAAGUCAGUCUCAUAGAGUUGAGUUUAAAGAGUAAUUUGUAAUUUAGUUUGUAUUUAGAGGAGUAUUAUACUUUUGUUUUGAUAUGGAUGGUGAUAAUAGAAUAUGGUUCCUUAUUGGGGUAUGAACUAUGAACUUGGCAGGGUGACAUAGCCAUUAGUCAUAGGAUUGAUGUGAAGCCAUACACUUCUGUACACACUCUAAAUAACAUGUUUCCUCCAACUUCAUUGAUAGAGCAGGAAGACUUAAACUCAUGGAAUUUUUGGAGAGUAGCAUUGCCAGAAAUCGAUGAUUAAAAUAAUAGAGUUGAGAGAGUAGUAUUGUACUUUAGUUUGUCACAAGUGUUCUAGAUCAGUAUUAUAUUGUUGUUUUAUAUGGCCAUUCAAAAUUGCAGCAUAUUCUUUUAGAUAUCUUGUGACAGUACAUCAUGGGUUUCUUCCUCUCUCAAUUUUAAUAUUUCCCAAUUUGUAAUUUCAACAACAGUAAUUUUACGUACAGAAAUAUACAAAAUGUUCUCACUUUA